rnacentral:rRNA from 1 species
UUCGAAUGAGUACAAUUUAAAUCCUUUAACGAGGAUCAACUGGAGGGCAAGUCUGGUGCCAGCAGCCGCGGUAACUCCAGCUCCAGAAGCGUAUAUUAAAGUUGUUGCAGUUAAAAAGCUCGUAGUUGGAUCUGGGUCGCAUGGCUACAUGCCGUUGCUCGUAUUCCUGGCCUGGUUCACACCGGGACGGGUUUGUGAGUCGGUGUCGUGGUUGUGCAGCCUUUCUGCCGUGUCUGUUUCGACAGGUGUUAGCAUGAUUGGUGGGUUCGUCCUGCUGAUCUGUUGACAUGCUUCCAGGUGCCCUUAACCGGGUGUCGGGGGCGGACGGCACGUUUACUUUGAACAAAUUUGAGUGCUCAAAGCAGGCCCGUGUGCCUGAAAAUUCUUGCAUGGAAUAAUGGAAUAGGACUUCGGUUCUAUUUUGUUGGUUUUCGGAUCCGAAGUAAUGGUUAAAAGGGACAGACGGGGGCAUUUGUAUGGCGGUGUUAGAGGUGAAAUUCUUGGAUCACCGCCAGACAAACU